rnacentral:ncRNA from 2 species
CAGUUUUCCCAGGAAUCC